CCUCCCAUUCUAUACAAGUUUUUGCGACCCCCCCAUCUCUCUCUCUCUCUCUCGGCGUGCGUGCUUGCGUGCUCUCUUCGUUCUAGUCUGUUUGAGGUAUGUUCUGCGAGCAUUGCCUUGAUCGAUCGGGCCUUUGAGGUGGUUCACUUUUUCUUUUUGAUCGGAAGGUGUUGAGAUACUUCAGAAAAGAUGGCCAUAACUGGAGGAAGAAGAAAGAUGGAAAGACAGUGAAGGAAGCUCAUGAGAGGCUCAAGGCUGGGCCCAUGGAGAAGAAAAUGAAAAUUUCCAAAGGCGAAGGUAUUGGUUGCUUGAAGAGGAGCGCUUUAACAUUGUUCUUGUCCACUAUCGCGAAGUAAAGGUUAGAAAUUUAUUCUAUUAUUCCUUUGUUUCUUCAUUAUUGAAGAAAUUCACAAUUGAUAAUUUGUAUACCGUAUCAGAUGAUUCUUGAGCCAAUAUAUAUCAUACAUAAUGCUGGCUAUUUUAGAAUAACAUCGCUUUCUAACUUUCCCACCUCUUUUGUUUCAAGGUUUCUUGUGUAUGUAUAACUUCCACGUAUUGGAAUCUUGCUACAAAAUAUAAUCUAAUGUGUUUUGUUGCCCAACUUUUCACAUCCGUGCUAGUUUCUUUUUGGACUAAUGGUCAUUACAAUGUUCAUGUUACUCGUAAGAUUCCCGACUUAGUGGCACUUCUAUGAUCUGGAAAGCUUCUCUAUCGGUUUUAGUACGUUACAUUGUUUUGUUUCUUGUUGGUGCUUAAUGGAUAUUGUUUUGGCCAUGGCUAUUCCCAGAGCAUUUUUUGAACUGGAUUGGAAGUGGGAGUCUUCCUUCUUCUAGCUCUUAGAAUCAGUGUGCCAAAGGUUGAUUCUUGGGAUAUAGUUUUGUUGGUAAAACAAAAACCAAAAUUCAUGUUUUGUGUAUUUAAGAAUAUGAUGCAUCUAUCUGCUUUUCUUUUCUUCUGUACUCUUUUUGUUUCCCAUUCAAAUUUUCUGGAACAAUGCAUGUUUUCUUUGAAGGGUGCAACUUUUUAUUUUACUUGGUUUUGUGACCUAUAAGUUUUUGAACCACGUAACACCACAACAAAACUAACUAUUUACGGCUUCAACUUUGCGGCACACAUUAAAUGCAUGUCGUAAUUAGUACAUUCUAUGACAUUUUUUUUUUGCAAGUUGUUAGUAGUUUUUCAAUAAUGACAUACAUACCAUGUAAGUCGUUAAUUCAUAUAUUUAUGGCAUAUAAAAGUAUGCCGUAAAAAAUCUAUAUUUUCAUGACUUAAAAAAUAUGUUAUAAAAUAUUUGCACUUAAAACAACAUACAUUUUAUGUUGUAAAAUAUUAUAACUUUACACGCCAUGCAUUAACAUGUUGUGAAAAUUUUUGCAAAAAAAUAAAAAUAAAUAAAUAAAUUCAAUUCGAAUUUUUUUUAUGGCAUGCAAAAGCAUGCCGUAAAAAAUGCAUAUUUUCAUGGCAUACAAAAAUACGAUGUAAAAUAUCUGCACUUAAGACGACAUACAAUUCAUGUUAUGAAAUAUUAUAACUUUACACGGCAUGCAUUAGCAUGUUGUGAAAACUUUUAUUAAAAAAAAUUUCAAUCCAAUUUUAUUUUUCUUUUUUUUGAUUUAAAAAAGCUAACAAUUUCCAACUAAGUUUCUCACUUUAGAUUUUUCUAAUUGAGGACAACAUAAAAAAUAAUUUAUACAUUAUUUUAUAAUUUAGGGUCUCUUUUAAGGGAUAAUUGCACCCAGUGGGAUUUUGGGAAAAAAAUUACAUAUUCAUGAAAAAGUUUGUAAUUUUAAUGAUUAAUAUUUAUAUGGCUUCUCACUAAUUUGUAAUUAUUUUUUUUUUAAAAAAAAUUACCUUGAUUUGAUAUUUUCCCUUAAUUUAAUAAUUUAUUUAUUUUUUACUUUUUAGAUGUGCCUAAUUUGAAUACAACUAAAAAGUAAAGUAUUUGUAAAAAAAAUAUAAUAUAUAUGAAAUGUAUUAAAUUUUAUAUUUUUUUGAAUUGAGUGAUUUUUUUAAAAAAUUAAAAAAUAUUUUUCUUUUAAAUAUAUGUAAAUUAUUUGAAUUUAAAAAGUAAAAAAAAAUAUUUUAAAUAUUUAAAACUUACAAUAACAAAAAAACAAAAAAAAAGACUCAAAAAAAUUAUUUUAGCCCUGUUCACCACUCUCACAGACUCCUCUCAUUCUAUCUGUACAUGUUUUUGCCCCAAACCCUCUCUCUAUCUCUCUCUCUGCGUGCGAGCUCUCGAGUGCAAGCUCUCGAGCUCUCUUCGAGCAUUUCCUUGAUUGAUCGCGCGACUUCGCAUGACCUCACAAUGUAUGUCAUUCACUUUCUCUCCCAAUUGAUCAAUUUUUCUCUGUCUCUAUCAUUUUUUCCCAAAAGCUUCGAAUUCAUCAUUUUAUUUGAAGUUAGGGUUUGGUGAGAGCCAUGGAAAUGUAGACUACAAGCCAAAUGCAUUCUCAAUCAAUUGAUCUCAAAUCCUAACUGAUCUCUACACGCUCCUGUGUAUCGAACAAUUCAAUCACUAGACAAGUCGAUUUCAAUGCUUCCGAUGGAGCUGGCUGCUACUCGAAGUUCUCAAGAGAUGAGGAGAUCUGAUAAGUUCACUCACAUCUCUGAAUUGACUCAUGAGGGCUUGCCAAGGAAGAAGACUUUCAUAGUUAUUGGAAUUAAUACUGCUUUUAGUAGUAGGAAGAGGUGUGAUUUGGUUAGACAAACUUGGAUGCCUCAAGGAGAGAGACUUCUUCAAUUGGAACAAGAGAAGGGAAUUAUCAUCCGGUUCAUGAUCGGCCAUAGUGCAACAUCUAACAGCAUACUAGAUUGAGCUAUUGAUUCAGAAGAUUUUCAGCAUAAGGACUUCCUCAGGCUGGAGCAUGUUGAAGGGUAUCAUGAAUUGCCUGCAAAAACCAAAAUUUUCUUCUCCACUGCUGUUCCAAAAUGGGAUGCUGAUUUCUAUGUCAAAGUGGAUGAUGAUGUCCAUGUCAAUUUGGGUUGUUGAGUUUGCCCUGGCUUUGCAGGAAGCUGUGUGCUUUUCUGUUGUUCUGGAAUGUGUGCUUGCACUUGUUGCUGCUGCUGCUGCAACAUUUGCUCUUCAAAUCCUUACAAUUGGUAUUGGGAUAGGGCCUUUAUGUAUUGGCCAAGAGCUUGGAGCACAAUCCAGUGCUAUAGAUGAGGAGAUCUUCACACAGGUUCUAGGGCUUGAUCGACCUGGUCGUGUUCGAACACAUGGAUUUGGUCCUUCUCUAACAAAUGUCUUUGGAGGUGGAUUUAGGCAGUCACAAGAGCAGGCUCAUCUCAUCCAGACGCAAGUCCAAGAGCAACUUAACCAACAUAAAGUACAAAUGGAGAUGCAAGUGAAGGAGAUGAUAGAUGCUAUGUUUAGUCAGAUGCAAGGUACAAUCCAAGCUCAACAAGCACGAAUAGAGUAGUUGGAGUCUCAAUAGGCCAUGGGUGGGCUUGUUGCACCAACUACUGCACAUGUGCAUUCACAACAACAAUCCCAUGC